rnacentral:rRNA from 1 species
CUACGGGUCGCUGCAGUGGGGAAUAUUGGACAAUGGGGGAAACCCUGAUCCAGCAAUGCCGCGUGUGUGAAGAAGGCCUGCGGGUUGUAAAGCACUUUCGGUUGGGAGGACUGCUUCUAGCACUAAUAUUGUUGGAAGUUGACGUUACCUUCAGAAGAAGCACCGGCUAACUCCGUGCCAGCAGCCGCGGUAAUACGGAGGGUGCAUGCGUUAAUCGGAAUUACUGGGCGUAAAGCGCGCGUAGGCGGCUAGAUCAGUCGGGUGUGAAAGCCCCGGGCUUAACCUGGGGACUGCAUCCGAUACUGUCUAGCUUGAGUACAGGAGAGGAGAGUGGAAUUCCACAUGUAGCGGUGAAAUGCGUAGAUAUGUGGAGGAACACCAAUGGCGAGGGCAGCUCUCUGGCCUGAUACUGACGCUGAGGUGCGAAAGCGUGGGGAGCAAACAGGAUUAGAUACCCUAGUAGUC